GACGAACCGUCCAAACGUUAUUCGGAUUUACUGGGCUUAAAGGGUGCGUAGGCGGUACAGUAAGUUGGGUGUGAAAUCCCUCGGCUCAACCGAGGAACUGCGCCCAAUACUGCUGUGCUAGAGGGAGACAGGGGUGAGCGGAACUGAUGGUGGAGCGGUGAAAUGCGUUGAUAUCAUCAGGAACACCGGUGGCGAAAGCGGCUCACUGGGUCUUUACUGACGCUGAGGCACGAAAGCUAGGGGAGCGAACGGG
rnacentral:misc_RNA from 1 species